UGGGUGGUAUAGAGGAGAUGGACCCACUGGUUGCCCUCUAGGUUACAGAGAGCUGGUAGUCCCAUCCACCACACUACCAGGUGGGUGGUAUAGAGGAGACGGACCCACUGGUUGUCCUCUAGGUUACAGAGAGCUGGUAGUCCCAUCCACCACACUACCAGGUGGGUGGUAUAGAGGAGACGGACCCACUGGUUGUCCUCUAGGUUACAGAGAGCUGGUAGUCCCAUCCACCACACUACCAGGUGGGUGGUAUAGAGGAGAUGGACCCACUGGUUGCCCUCUAGGUUACAGAGAGCUGGUAGUCCCAUCCACCACACUACCAGGUGGGUGGUAUAGAGGAGACGGACCCACUGGUUGUCCUCUAGGUUACAGAGAGCUGGUAGUCCCAUCCACCACACUACCAGGUGGGUGGUAUAGAGGAGACGG